UCAUCACGAUGUCCUUCAGGUGGCCGCCAAGGCCAUAACAGGGAAUCCGGUGCGAAUCCGGAGCGGUCCCGCCGCUGUAAUCCUCACUUGAAGUUCUGACUCCAACUAGCCACUGCCGCAAGGCGGGAAGGCGGAGCAGACGAGGAAAGCCAGAAGACCUACCUGAAGCGUUUCUUGCCGA
rnacentral:ncRNA from 1 species